GGCUGGUGUUGGUAGAGCAUGGCGCUUGCAACGCCAGGGUUGUGGGUUCGAUUCCCAC
rnacentral:tRNA from 1 species